rnacentral:rRNA from 1 species
GACGAACGCUGGCGGCGUGCCUAAUACAUGCAAGUCGAGCGCAGGAAGUCGACGGAACCCUUCGGGGGGAAGUCGACGGAAUGAGCGGCGGACGGGUGAGUAACACGUAAAGAACCUGCCCUCAGGUCUGGGAUAACCACGAGAAAUCGGGGCUAAUACCGGAUGGGUCAUCGGACCGCAUGGUCCGAGGAUGAAAGGCGCUUCGGCGUCGCCUGGGGAUGGCUUUGCGGUGCAUUAGCGAGUUGGUGGGGUAAUGGCCCACCAAGGCGACGAUGCAGAGCCGACCUGAGAGGGUGGACGGCCACACUGGGCCUGAGACACGGCACAGACUCCUACGGGAGGCAGCAGUAGGGAAUCUUCCACAAUGGACGAAAGUCUGAUGGAGCAACGCCGCGUGAACGAUGAAGGCCUUCGGGUCGUAAAGUUCUGUUGUAAGGGAAGAACAAGUGCCGCAGGCAAUGGCGGCACCUUGACGGUACCUUGCGAGAAAGCCACGGCUAACUACGUGCCAGCCGCCGCCGUAAUAC